AUUGAACGCUGGCGGCAGGCCUAACACAUGCAAGUCGAGCGAGCGGCGGACGGGUGAGUAAUGUAUGGGGACUGCCCUAUAGAGGGGGAUAACUACUGGAAACGGUGGCUAAUACCGCAUACUAUCGGGUAACCCGUAUGGGAUUAGCUAGUAGGUGGGGUAAAGGCUCACCUAGGCGACGAUCUAUAGCUUGUCUCAGAGGAUGAUCAUCCACACUGGGGCAGAGACCCGGCCGAGAACGCUACGGAGGCAGCAGUGGGGAAGAUUGCUGAAGGGGCGCAACCCUGAUGGAGCCCUGCCGCGUGUAUGAAGAAGGCCUUAGGGUUGUACAGAACUUUCAGCGGGGAGGCGUUACCCGAAGAAGAAGCACCGGCUAACUCCGUGCCAGCAGCCGCGGUAAUUC
rnacentral:rRNA from 1 species